GACGAACCGUGCAAACGUUGUUCGGAAUCACUGGGCUUAAAGGGCGCGUAGGCGGAUGAGCAAGUCUGUGGUGAAAUCCCCCGGCUAACCGGGGAACUGCCGUGGAUACUGCACAUCUCGAGGAAGAUAGGGGCGUCUGGAACUAGCGGUGGAGCGGUGAAAUGCGUUGAUAUCGCUAGGAACUCCGGUGGCGAAGGCGAGACGCUGGAUCUUUUCUGACGCUGAGGCGCGAAAGCCAGGGGAGCGAACGGG
rnacentral:rRNA from 1 species